CCUACGGGCGGCUGCAGUGGGGAAUAUUGGACAAUGGGGGCAACCCUGAUCCAGCCAUGCCGCGUGUGUGAAGAAGGCCCUCGGGUUGUAAAGCACUUUCAAUGAGGAAGAACGCCUGGUGGUUAAUACCCAUCAGGAAAGACAUCACUCACAGAAGAAGCACCGGCUAACUCCGUGCCAGCAGCCGCGGUAAUACGGAGGGUGCGAGCGUUAAUCGGAAUUACUGGGCGUAAAGCGCGCGUAGGUGGCUUGAUAAGCCGGUUGUGAAAGCCCCGGGCUCAACCUGGGAACGGCAUCCGGAACUGUCAAGCUAGAGUGCAGGAGAGGAAGGUAGAAUUCCCGGUGUAGCGGUGAAAUGCGUAGAGAUCGGGAGGAAUACCAGUGGCGAAGGCGGCCUUCUGGACUGACACUGACACUGAGGUGCGAAAGCGUGGGUAGCAAACAGGAUUAGAUACCCUGGUAGUC
rnacentral:rRNA from 1 species